GGCACCUGCGUAUGCUAACAUCUUGCAGAGGCCCUCCUGUUUGAAAAUAAAAUCCUAUGUUCCUGAUAGAAGGAUCAUCUCAGAAGAUAUCCUCUCGCUGUUCUAGCUAGCAUGAAUAAACAUAUAUGAAAUAAUGAACAUCAAUGAAGUAAAUACUUGGGUGAUCGUACCAACAGCUGCAAAGAAAAAAAAAUGGAAGCAAGAAAGGAAAUGCACACAGCGAGCGCAGCGCAAGGGAUAUCCCCCCUCCCACACAGGCCACAGCGUUGAGGCCGUUUUUGUCCCUUCUGGUGGUGGGCUGCGAAGGCCCAGGCGAAGGCGUCGUGGGACGAAACGGGGCGCAGAAAAAAGUGAUGACAUGGCUGCAGAAAAGGCCAGAAAAAUGACGUGGUGGGGAUCCCUCUCUUAGAUAUAGA
rnacentral:lncRNA from 1 species